rnacentral:rRNA from 1 species
CCGAGCGGCGGACGGGUGAGUAAUGUAUGGGGAUCUGCCUGAUGGAGGGGGAUAACUACUGGAAACGGUAGCUAAUACCGCAUACCAUCAGAUGAACCCAUAUGGGAUUAGCUAGUAGGUGAGGUAACGGCUCACCUAGGCGACGAUCCCUAGCUGGUAUGAGAGGAUUAUCAGCCACACUGGGACUUGGACACGGCCCAGACUCCUACGGGAGGCAGCAUUGGGGAAGAUUGCACAAUGGGCGCAAGCCUGAUGCAGCCAUGCCGCGUGUAUGAAGAAGGCCUUCGGGUUGUAAAGUACUUUCAGUCGGGAGGCGUGACCGACAGAAGAAGCACCGGCUAACUCCGUGCCAGCAGCCGCGGUAAUUC